CCGGCCCAGUUCAGAUUGAGGUCUGCAAUUCGACCUCAUGAAGUCGGAAUCGCUAGUAAUCGCAGGUCAGCUAUACUGCGGUGAAUACGUUCUCGAGUCUUGUACUCA
rnacentral:rRNA from 1 species